rnacentral:rRNA from 1 species
AUUGAACGCUGGCGGCAGGCCUAACACAUGCAAGUCGAGCGAGCGGCGGACGGGUGAGUAAUGUCUGGGGAACUGCCUGAUGGAGGGGGAUAACUACUGGAAACGGUGGCUAAUACCGCAUACUAUCAGAUGUGCCCAGAUGGGAUUAGCUAGUAGGUGGGGUAAAGGCUCACCUAGGCGACGAUCCCUAGCUGGUCUGAGAGGAUGACCAGCCACACUGGAACGGAGACACGGCCCAGACUCCUACGGGAGGCAGCAGUGGGGAAUAUUGCACAAUGGGCGCAAGCCUGAUGCAGCCAUGCCGCGUGUGUGAAGAAGGCCUUCGGGUUGUAAAGCACUUUCAGCGAGGAGGCGUUACUCGCAGAAGAAGCACCGGCUAACUCCGUGCCAGCAGCCGCGGUAAUAC